UCAGGUAAUUUAUGGAGCCGCGAAAAAGAUCGUGAAGGUAUUCAUUUCUUUUGGUCUCUGGCCGCGCACUUUCUCGAUCAUUCUUACACGAACACGAUCAUGGGUAACGCUUCGGUGUACAUCGUAAUCCUGCUGUGCCUGACUGUCUUCGAACUCAGUGAAUGCCAGUCCUCAGCUUGCCUUGAGCCACUAGCUGAAGGGACUUGCGAACAGACUGUUACCAUGUACUACUUCGAUACAUUCACCAAAGUCUGCCGCACUUUUGCAUAUGGGGGUCACGGAGGAAAUGACAACAGAUUCGAAGACAAGGAGACUUGCGAAGCGACGUGUGCAGCCAGGACUGUCGACUAGGACUCGCGCGGCAGCUUUGAUAUCUAUUUGAAGGAAUUAAUAAACGAGUGAACGUAA